rnacentral:rRNA from 1 species
UACGUAGGGGGCUAGCGUUGUCCGGAAUCAUUGGGCGUAAAGAGCGUGUAGGCGGUCCGGUAAGUCCGCUGUGAAAGUCGGGGGCUCAACCCUCGAAUGCCGGUGGAUACUGUCGGGCUAGAGUGCGGAAGAGGCGAGUGGAAUUCCUGGUGUAGCGGUGAAAUGCGCAGAUAUCAGGAGGAACACCGGUGGCGAAGGCGGAUCUCUGGGCCUUACCUGACGCUCAGGCACGAAAGCUAGGGGAGCGAACAGG